rnacentral:rRNA from 1 species
GAGUUUGAUCCUGGCUCAGAACGAACGCUGGCGGCGUGCCUAACACAUGCAAGUCGAACGUGAUCCAGAGCUUGCUCUGGUGAAAGUGGCGCACGGGUGAGUAACGCGUGGAUAACCUACCCUGGUAUCCGGGAUAACAUUCCGAAAGGGGUGCUAAUACCGGAUAAGCCCACGGGCUCUUUGGAGCUUGCGGGAAAAGGUGGCCUCUAUUUAUAAGCUACUGUAUCAGGAUGGGUCCGCGUACCAUUAGCUAGUUGGCGGUGUAACGGACCACCAAGGCGACGAUGGUUAGCUGGUCUGAGAGGAUGAUCAGCCACACUGGAACUGAGACACGGUCCAGACUCCUACGGGAGGCAGCAGUGGGGAAUUUUGCGCAAUGGGGGAAACCCUGACGCAGCAACGCCGCGUGAGUGAUGAAGGCCUUUGGGUCGUAAAGCUCUGUCAGAGGGGAAGAAAUGAUAUAGUGCCAAUACCACUUUAUCUUGACGGUACCCUCAAAGGAAGCACCGGCUAACUCCGUGCCAGCAGCCGCGGUAAUAC